GACGAACGCUGGCGGCGUGCCUAACACAUGCAAGUUGAGCGACGAACCAGGGCUUGCCCUGGGGCAAAGCAGCGAACGGGUGAGUAACACGUGGGUAACCUACCCCGAUAACCGGGACAACCCGAGGAAACUCGGGCUAAUACCGGAUGUGCUCACUGGACUUCGGUUCAGUGCGUAAAGGAAGCUUCGGCCUCCGUAUCGGGAGGGGCCCGCGGCCCAUUAGUUUGUUGGUGAGGUAACGGCUCACCAAGACCGCGAUGGGUAGCUGGUCUGAGAGGACGAUCAGCCACACUGGGACUGAGACACGGCCCAGACUCCUACGGGAGGCAGCAGUGGGGAAUCUUGCGCAAUGCGCGAAAGCGUGACGCAGCAACGCCGCGUGGGGGAAGAAGGCCUUCGUGUUGUAAACCCCUUUCAGGAGGGACGAAGGUUCGGCGGUGAAUAGCCGUCCGGACUGACGGUACCUCCACAAGAAGCCCCGGCUAACUACGUG
rnacentral:rRNA from 1 species